AUGUAAUUGGGUUCCCAAUUGACAUCGAAAAAUGAGCAGAAAACUAGGAGGUAGCACAAGUAAAUCAAGAUAGGACACCCUCACCCAAGAAAUUCACCAAAUGGACAAAAGAGCAAGCUUGGCCUUAAUAGAAUCCACCAAAGAGUUGAAGCUAAGAUGCUUAUCCUCAAAGGAAUUCCACUAAUGAGUUGAAGCUAGAAGAAGAAAUCCACUUCUUGAGAACAAAACAAAUUAAUUUUUGAUAUUCAAUAUUCUGCUUUCAGGUUCUGAAAUUGCAUGGAUUUAUAGAAACU
rnacentral:lncRNA from 1 species